rnacentral:sRNA from 1 species
GGGCGGCGGGCGAGGGCGGGGCGGUGGGCGGGGACGGGGCCCGGACGGCGGCUACGGCCCAGGUGAGCGGCUCGGACUCGGCGGCCGCACCUGCCCAACCCAACCCGCACGGUCCGGAAGUCGCCGAGGGGCCGGGAGCGGGAGGGGACGUCGUCCUAGAGGGCCGGAGCGGGCGGGCGGCCGAGGACCCGGCUCCCGCGCAGGACGGAGCCGUGGCUCAGAUCGGCCCCUCCCCAACACCACCCCGGGCCUCCGCCCCUUCCUGGGCCUCUCGGUGGAGCAGGGACCCGAACCGGUGCCCAUCCAGUCCGGUGCCAUCUGAAGCCCCCUUCCCAGGUUUCUGAACAGCCUGGGCACCAUCUUCUCAUUCAUCUCCAAGGACGUGGUCUCCAAGCUGCGGAUCAUGGAGCGCCUCAGGGGCGGCCCGCAGAGCGAGCACUACCGCAGCCUGCAGGCCAUGGUGGCCCACGAGCUGAGCAACCGGCUGGUGGACCUGGAGCGCCGCUCCCACCACCCCGAGUCUGGCUGCCGGACGGUGCUGCGCCUGCACCGCGCCCUGCACUGGCUGCAGCUGUUCCUGGAGGGCCUGCGCACCAGCCCCGAGGACGCACGCACCUCCGCACUCUGCGCCGACUCCUACAACGCCUCGCUGGCCGCCUACCACCCCUGGGUCGUGCGCCGCGCCGUCACCGUGGCCUUCUGCACGCUGCCCACACGCGAGGUCUUCCUGGAGGCCAUGAACGUGGGGCCCCCGGAGCAGGCCGUGCAGAUGCUAGGCGAGGCUCUCCCCUUCAUCCAGCGUGUCUACAACGUCUCCCAGAAGCUCUACGCCGAGCACUCCCUGCUGGACCUGCCCUAGGGGCGGGAAGCCAGGGCCGCACCAGCUUUCCUGCUGCAGAUCUGGGCUGCGGUGGCCAGGGCCGUGAGUCCCAUGGCAGAGCCUUCUGGGCGCUGCGGGAACAGGAGAUCCUCUGUCGCCCCUGUGAGCUGAGCUGGUUAGGAACCACAGACUGUGACAGAGAAGGUGGCGACCAGCCCAGAAGAGGCCCACCCUCUCGGUCCGGAACGAGACGCCUCGGCCACGGCUCCC